UUUUAAAAAUUUCAUCCAUUUUUACUAAUAAAAACUAACGUGGUUGACAGAAUAACAAAACAAUUACAUGUGACAUACCAUGUGUACCAUAUUUUGUUGUACAGUGACCAAUUUUUAAUCGUGAAAAUGGAUGGAAUUUUUAACA
rfam:Gossypium raimondii Chr10_contig_1451, whole genome shotgun sequence.